rnacentral:rRNA from 1 species
AUGGGGAGCACAUGGCGCCCCUGCAUGGCCUCGGUUUCCGUGCUCAUGCACGGCCGAUCGACGUCCUGGCCCGGUCGCCUCUGGCUUCUGGGCUGCCUUCGCCAUCGUCGCGCCCUGCAACCCCGCCGACUGGGCCGGCCUCCUCGGUCCCCGUCUCGCCCAGGGCGUCGGGGCAGGCAUCACCAGGCCUGGCCUCGCCCGCCCCUGCCUCGCCCAGGGUGUCUGGGCCCUUCUCACCAGGGCCGGCCUCGCCUGCUCUUGCCUCGCCAAGGCCGUCUGGGCCGGUGUCACCGGAGCUGGCCUCGCCCACUCUCGGUUCGCCCAUGGCCUCUGAGCCCCUGUCGUCGGGCCAGUCUUCGCCAUGCAGCCCGGAGUCGUCUGUCCCGAGCUCGCCUGAGGUGA